rnacentral:rRNA from 1 species
GAUGAACGCUGGCGGCGUGCCUAAUACAUGCAAGUCGAGCGAACGGACGAGAAGCUUGCUUCUCUGAUGUUAGCGGCGGACGGGUGAGUAACACGUGGAUAACCUACCUAUAAGACUGGGAUAACUUCGGGAAACCGGAGCUAAUACCGGAUAAUAUUUUGAACCGCAUGGUUCAAAAGUGAAAGACGGUCUUGCUGUCACUUAUAGAUGGAUCCGCGCUGCAUUAGCUAGUUGGUAAGGUAACGGCUUACCAAGGCAACGAUGCAUAGCCGACCUGAGAGGGUGAUCGGCCACACUGGAACUGAGACACGGUCCAGACUCCCACGGGAGGCAGCAGUAGGGAAUCUUCCGCAAUGGGCGAAAGCCUGACGGAGCAACGCCGCGUGAGUGAUGAAGGUCUUCGGAUCGUAAAACUCUGUUAUUAGGGAAGAACAUAUGUGUAAGUAACUGUGCACAUCUUGACGGUACCUAAUCAGAAAGCCACGGCUAACUACGUGCCAGCAGCCGCGGUAAUACGUAGGUGGCAAGCGUUAUCCGGAAUUAUUGGGCGUAAAGCGCGCGUAGGCGGUUUUUUAAGUCUGAUGUGAAAGCCCACGGCUCAACCGUGGAGGGUCAUUGGAAACUGGAAAACUUGAGUGCAGAAGAGGAAAGUGGAAUUCCAUGUGUAGCGGUGAAAUGCGCAGAGAUAUGGAGGAACACCAGUGGCGAAGGCGACUUUCUGGUCUGUAACUGACGCUGAUGUGCGAAAGCGUGGGGAUCAAACAGGAUUAGAUACCCUGGUAGUCCACGCCGUAAACGAUGAGUGCUAAGUGUUAGGGGGUUUCCGCCCCUUAGUGCUGCAGCUAACGCAUUAAGCACUCCGCCUGGGGAGUACGACCGCAAGGUUGAAACUCAAAGGAAUUGACGGGGACCCGCACAAGCGGUGGAGCAUGUGGUUUAAUUCGAAGCAACGCGAAGAACCUUACCAAAUCUUGACAUCCUUUGACAACUCUAGAGAUAGAGCCUUCCCCUUCGGGGGACAAAGUGACAGGUGGUGCAUAGUUGUCGUCAGCUCGUGUCGUGAGAUGUUGGGUUAAGUCCCGCAACGAGCGCAACCCUUAAGCUUAGUUGCCAUCAUUAAGUUGGGCACUCUAAGUUGACUGCCGGUGACAAACCGGAGGAAGGUGGGGAUGACGUCAAAUCAUCAUGCCCCUUAUGAUUUGGGCUACACACGUGCUACAAUGGACAAUACAAAGGGCAGCGAAACCGCGAGGUCAAGCAAAUCCCAUAAAGUUGUUCUCAGUUCGGAUUGUAGUCUGCAACUCGACUACAUGAAGCUGGAAUCGCUAGUAAUCGUAGAUCAGCAUGCUACGGUGAAUACGUUCCCGGGUCU